GAUGAACGCUGGCGGCGUGCCUAAUACAUGCAAGUCGAGCGAACAGACGAGGAGCUUGCUCCUCUGACGUUAGCGGCGGACGGGUGAGUAACACGUGGAUAACCUACCUAUAAGACUGGGAUAACUUCGGGAAACCGGAGCUAAUACCGGAUAAUAUAUUGAACCGCAUGGUUCAAUAGUGAAAGACGGUUUUGCUGUCACUUAUAGAUGGAUCCGCGCCGCAUUAGCUAGUUGGUAAGGUAACGGCUUACCAAGGCGACGAUGCGUAGCCGACCUGAGAGGGUGAUCGGCCACACUGGAACUGAGACACGGUCCAGACUCCUACGGGAGGCAGCAGUAGGGAAUCUUCCGCAAUGGGCGAAAGCCUGACGGAGCAACGCCGCGUGAGUGACGAAGGUCUUCGGAUCGUAAAACUCUGUUAUUAGGGAAGAACAAAUGUGUAAGUAACUAUGCACGUCUUGACGGUACCUAAUCAGUAAGCCACGGCUAACUACGUG
rnacentral:rRNA from 1 species